GCUAGCGUUGUUCGGAAUCACUGGGCGUAAAGCGUAUGUAGGCGGAUCGUUAAGUCGGGGGUGAAAUCCCGAGGCUCAACCUCGGAACUGCCUUCGAUACUGGCGAUCUUCGAGUCCGGGAGAGGUGAGUGGAACUCCGAGUGUAGAGGUGAAAUUCGUAGAUAUUCGGAAGAACACCAGUGGCGAAGGCGGCUCACUGGCCCGGUACUGACGCUGAUAUACGAAAGCGUGGGGAGCAAACAGG
rnacentral:rRNA from 1 species